ACUUAAAUAGCUUAAAUUAAGAGCACAAUAUUGAAGAUAUUGAGGUAAUAUUAAUUAUUUUUAGGUA
rnacentral:tRNA from 1 species